AACCUGGCCAUGAAGAAAC
rnacentral:piRNA from 1 species